CCCUUAGAUGUUCUGGGCCGCACGCGCGCUACACUGACGAAUGCAACGAGCUUAUAACCUUGGCCGAAAGGUCUGGGUAAUCUCCAAAUUUCGUCGUGAUGGGGAUAGAUUAUUGCAAUUAUUAAUCUUCAACGAGGAAUGCCUAGUAAGCGCAAGUCAUCAGCUUGCGUUGAUUACGUCCCUGCCCUUUGUACACACCGCCCGUCGCUCCUACCGAUUGAACGUUUUAGUGAGGUAUUUGGACUGGACCUUCGGAGGUUCGCGCCUCCGUUGCUGUUCGGGAAGACUCCCAAACUUGAGCGUUUAGAGGAAGUAAAAGUCGUANCA
rnacentral:rRNA from 1 species